rnacentral:rRNA from 1 species
GAUGAACGCUAGCGGCAGGCUUAAUACAUGCAAGUCGAGGGGCAGCACGGUUAGCAAUAACUGGUGGCGACCGGCGCACGGGUGCGUAACACGUAUACAAUCUACCUUAAACAGGGGGAUAGCCUUUCGAAAGAGAGAUUAAUACUCCGUAAUAAAUUGAACGGCAUCGUUUGAUUUUGAAAGCUCCGGCGGUUUGAGAUGAGUAUGCGUCUGAGUAGCUAGUUGGUGAGGUAACGGCUCACCAAGGCGACGAUCACUAGGGGAUCUGAGAGGAAUAACCCCCACACUGGAACUGAGACACGGACCAGACUCCUACGGGAGGCAGCAGUCAGGAAUAUUAGUCAAUGGAGGCAAGUCUGAACCAGCCAGGCCGCGUACAGGAUGACGGCCCUAUGGGUUGUAAACUGCUUUUAUAAAAGAGAAAACCGUGGUACGUGUACCAGGUUGUUAGUAUUGUAAGAAUAAGCAUCGGCUAACUUCGUGCCAGCCGCCGCCGUAAGAC